GACGAACGCUGGCGGCGUGCUUAACACAUGCAAGUCGAACGGAAAGGCCCUGCUUUUGUGGGGUGCUCGAGUGGCGAACGGGUGAGUAACACGUGAGUAACCUGCCCUUGACUUUGGGAUAACUUCAGGAAACUGGGGCUAAUACCGGAUAGGAGCUCCUGCUGCAUGGUGGGGGUUGGAAAGUUUCGGCGGUUGGGGAUGGACUCGCGGCUUAUCAGCUUGUUGGUGGGGUAGUGGCUUACCAAGGCUUUGACGGGUAGCCGGCCUGAGAGGGUGGCCGGCCACAAUGGGACUGCGAGACGGAGCAGACGCGAACGGGAGGCAGUAGGCGCGAGUAUUGUACAGUGGGAGCGAGUGUGAGGCAGCAACGCUGCGUUUGUGAAGCCGUCUUUCGGGGAGUGAACCGCUGUAGCUUAAUACGACGCGGGAGUGACGGUAAUGGGUGAAGAAGCACCGGCUAACUACGUG
rnacentral:rRNA from 1 species